AUUCAGGUACCGAGUUAAAAGAUGUGGUCAUCAUUACGACGUUAACUGUGUUAAAAACCUUAAAAGGUCAUGGCAACGUGUUUUCUCACUAGUAUAUAUAUACCAAGAUACUUAUAUUGCCGCUUAUCAGUCGGAAAGAUAAGUACUUCUGUGUCAAAGCUACUUCAGAAAAAUGCGUGUUUUGAUUCUCCUCGCAACUGCUGCUUUAGCAGGUAUGGUUUAUUCCGAGAGAUGUGCCGACACAGCAGCUUGCAUUUAACAAGGAGUAACAGUCUGCGAACAAAAUUCCACUUUAAUCUGUGCUACAACAGUCCACAUGUGUGUCUGUAUUGUUCCCCAAGUAGAUAACGCAGAACACUGUUUAGACAAGACUGACUGUACCAAAUGUACAGGAAUGACGGAACCUCACUGUUAUGACAGACGUUGUCGAUGUUCGUUUGCUGGCGGUGCAUUACUUGGAUGAUUGUUUCUCAGUUGUUGUUAUGUGUUUUUUUUGUUUUUUUUUUUGCGGGGGGGGGGGCGGUUGGGGGUGGGGUUGUCAGUUUAGAACACUGCAUAUGUAGUUUCAAUAAAGAGCACUUUGUGUAUCAGACUUGUUGUUCAUUUAUCAAAACGGCGUAAAACCAGCUACAGUAUAUUACAACUGUUAAAGAUGUCUGUUAACCCAUUGAAUGUCUUACGACAUUUGACUAAAAUUAUGCUCAUAAAUAUGGUAUUACUCGUUCGUUGGUAAUCAUAAUCAAGUUAAAAUAUCCACUGCCUACCUUUAUUUCAAUAUAUCAUUAAUGUACUUAAUGGGGAAACCACAAAACAUGUUAAAUAUUAUUUUUGUACAUCAUUUCAAAUGUUAGUUUUGUAUACCAUGUCCUAUGUUGACUUUGUACACCAUGUCCAAUGUUGAUUUUGUAC
rnacentral:lncRNA from 1 species